rnacentral:lncRNA from 1 species
GUUUACAUGUGCUGCUGCAUUUCUAUGCUGUUUAUUUCACAUCACACACCCAAGGAAGAUUUAGAAAAAGGUUUAUUCUUCCCAAUUACGCUCCAUAUGUUGGUUUUAAAACUUCUGGAACUGCUUCUUGGUGCCAGCAGCCUUUGUGACUUUGAGGACAUUGAACCUGACAGUCUUGCUGAGGGGCCGACACUCUCCCACAGUGACAAUGUCUCCGAUCUGCACAUCCCUGAAGCAGGGGGAGAGAUGCACAGACAUGUUCUUAUGGCGCUUCUCGAAGCGGUUGUACUUGCGGAUGUAGUGCAGGUAGUCCCGGCGGAUCACAAUGGUGCGCUGCAUCUUCAUCUUGGUGACCACACCUGAGAGGAUUCGGCCACGGAUGGAGACAUUACCAGUGAAGGGGCACUUCUUGUCGAUGUAGGUGCCCUCGAUAGCCUCCUUGGGUGUCUUAAAGCCGAGGCCGAUGUUCUUAUAGUAGCGCGGUAACUUCUCCUUGCCGCCCUCGCCCAGCAGGGCCCUCUUUUUGUUCUGGAAGAUCGUGGGCUGCUUCUGGUACGCCCGUUCGGUCUGCGUGUCCGCCAUCUUGGAACGCGCGGCGGAAAAGGAGCGCGUGCGGUGCGCGGCGCCGCUUAUCCGGGGCGGAACCGGAAGGGGCG